UACGUAGGGACCAAGCGUUGUUCGGAUUUACUGGGUGUAAAGGGUUCGUAGGCGGUGUGGCAAAUCGGGAGUGAAAUCUCUGGGCUCAACUCAGAGACUGCUUCCGAAACUGCUGUGCUGGAGUGUGGGAGAGGCGCGUGGAAUUGCAGGUGUAGCGGUGAAAUGCGUAGAUAUCGAGAGGAACACCGGUGGCGAAGGCGGCGAUCUGGACGAUGACUGACGCUGAGACGCGAAAGCGUGGGGAGCAAACAGG
rnacentral:rRNA from 1 species